rnacentral:rRNA from 1 species
UACGUAGGGUGCGAGCGUUGUCCGGAAUUACUGGGCGUAAAGCGUGCGCAGGCGGUUUUGUAAGACUGUCGUGAAAUCCCCGGGCUUAACCUGGGAAUGGCGAUGGUGACUGCAAGGCUAGAGUUUGGCAGAGGGGGGUAGAAUUCCACGUGUAGCAGUGAAAUGCGUAGAUAUGUGGAGGAACACCGAUGGCGAAGGCAGCCCCCUGGGUCAAAACUGACGCUCAUGCACGAAAGCGUGGGGAGCAAACAGG